ensembl:snoRNA
CCCGCCACUGAGCCGUCCGUCUCCGUGGUCCGGUCCAGUCCAGUGGAGGCUCAGAGCGACCCGGCUUUAGGAAACAGGGCGGCCCGUCUCCAUGAGCCGCUCUGUGCCGAAAAGCCCGGAACACUA